GAUGAACGCUGGCGGCGUGCCUAAUACAUGCAAGUCGAGCGAACAGACGAGGAGCUUGCUCCUCUGACGUUAGCGGCGGACGGGUGAGUAACACGUGGAUAACCUACCUAUAAGACUGGGAUAACUUCGGGAAACCGGAGCUAAUACCGGAUAAUAUAUUGAACCGCAUGGUUCAUUAGUGAAAGACGGUUUUGUGGUCACUAAUAGAUGGAUCCGCGCCGCAUUAGCUAGUUGGUAAGGUAACGGCUUACCAAGGCAACGAUGCGUAGCCGACCUGAGAGGGUGAUCGGCCACACUGGAACUGAGACACGGUCCAGACUCCUACGGGAGGCAGCAGUAGGGAAUCUUCCGCAAAGGGCGAAAGCCUGACGGAGCAACGCCGCGUGAGUGAUGAAGGUCUUCGGAUCGUAAAACUCUGUUAUUAGGGAAGAACAAAUGUGUAAGUAACUAUGCACGUCUUGACGGUACCUAAUCAGAAAGCCACGGCUAACUACGUG
rnacentral:rRNA from 1 species